rnacentral:lncRNA from 1 species
UGGACUCUAAGAAAGAGUUGCAGUGCACAUCAGAUGCAUACAUCCAUUCAACAGAAGAAAUAUUACCGGAGUAACCCAACACACUAAUUGAGAACUUGACUGGACCAAAGAGCCACGUGGUGCUUCAUUCUGGCAUCAUCAGAAACUUCUAAUAUCACCAUCCCAACGCUGCAAACACAAAGUACACUAUUGCUGUCAUUUUCUCAAACACUUCAUAUUCAACAAAUCAAAGUGGUGGUCAAGGUGCUACAAUCACGUGAAUUCCACACAACCAGUAUUGUGAUGAAUCAAUAAUCCAUGAAAUCCACAGAAUAUAUGAAUUGAUAAAUCACCAUUGGCAUUCCAUAUUUCCACUUCAUGUAACCAAUACUCUCGCUGGCAGUGAAGAAUUAUUAUGUCAUUCCAAUCCAGAAUUCUUGAGUAAACAAUUGUUGAAUCAAUUCCCACAAUUUCUUCCAAUCACGCGACUGCAUUAAAGGAAGGAAAAUCUGGAGAAAACGACAUCUGGAACAGAACCAGGAAAAGAGGGCGAGCAUAUUUGUC